rnacentral:rRNA from 1 species
GGUUAAGCGACUAAGCGUACACGGUGGAUGCCCUGGCAGUCAGAGGCGAUGAAGGACGUGCUAAUCUGCGAUAAGCGUCGGUAAGGUGAUAUGAACCGUUAUAACCGGCGAUUUCCGAAUGGGGAAACCCAGUGUGUUUCGACACACUAUCAUUAACUGAAUCCAUAGGUUAAUGAGGCGAACCGGGGGAACUGAAACAUCUAAGUACCCCGAGGAAAAGAAAUCAACCGAGAUUCCCCCAGUAGCGGCGAGCGAACGGGGAGGAGCCCAGAGCCUGAAUCAGUGUGUGUGUUAGUGGAAGCGUCUGGAAAGGCGCGCGAUACAGGGUGACAGCCCCGUACACAAAAAUGCACAUAUUGUGAGCUCGAUGAGUAGGGCGGGACACGUGGUAUCCUGUCUGAAUAUGGGGGGCCCAUCCUCCAAGGCUAAAUACUCCUGACUGACCGAUAGUGAACCAGUACCGUGAGGGAAAGGCGAAAAGAACCCCGGCGAGGGGAGUGAAAAAGAACCUGAAACCGUGUACGUACAAGCAGUGGGAGCACGCUUAGGCGUGUGACUGCGUACCUUUUGUAUAAUGGGUCAGCGACUUAUAUUCUGUAGCAAGGUUAACCGAAUAGGGGAGCCGAAGGGAAACCGAGUCUUAACUGGGCGUUAAGUUGCAGGGUAUAGACCCGAAACCCGGUGAUCUAGCCAUGGGCAGGUUGAAGGUUGGGUAACACUAACUGGAGGACCGAACCGACUAAUGUUGAAAAAUUAGCGGAUGACUUGUGGCUGGGGGUGAAAGGCCAAUCAAACCGGGAGAUAGCUGGUUCUCCCCGAAAGCUAUUUAGGUAGCGCCUCGUGAAUUCAUCUCCGGGGGUAGAGCACUGUUUCGGCAAGGGGGUCAUCCCGACUUACCAACCCGAUGCAAACUGCGAAUACCGGAGAAUGUUAUCACGGGAGACACACGGCGGGUGCUAACGUCCGUCGUGAAGAGGGAAACAACCCAGACCGCCAGCUAAGGUCCCAAAGUCAUGGUUAAGUGGGAAACGAUGUGGGAAGGCCCAGACAGCCAGGAUGUUGGCUUAGAAGCAGCCAUCAUUUAAAGAAAGCGUAAUAGCUCACUGGUCGAGUCGGCCUGCGCGGAAGAUGUAACGGGGCUAAACCAUGCACCGAAGCUGCGGCAGCGACGCUUAUGCGUUGUUGGGUAGGGGAGCGUUCUGUAAGCCUGCGAAGGUGUGCUGUGAGGCAUGCUGGAGGUAUCAGAAGUGCGAAUGCUGACAUAAGUAACGAUAAAGCGGGUGAAAAGCCCGCUCGCCGGAAGACCAAGGGUUCCUGUCCAACGUUAAUCGGGGCAGGGUGAGUCGACCCCUAAGGCGAGGCCGAAAGGCGUAGUCGAUGGGAAACAGGUUAAUAUUCCUGUACUUGGUGUUACUGCGAAGGGGGGGACGGAGAAGGCUAUGUUGGCCGGGCGACGGUUGUCCCGGUUUAAGCGUGUAGGCUGGUUUUCCAGGCAAAUCCGGAAAAUCAAGGCUGAGGCGUGAUGACGAGGCACUACGGUGCUGAAGCAACAAAUGCCCUGCUUCCAGGAAAAGCCUCUAAGCAUCAGGUAACAUCAAAUCGUACCCCAAACCGACACAGGUGGUCAGGUAGAGAAUACCAAGGCGCUUGAGAGAACUCGGGUGAAGGAACUAGGCAAAAUGGUGCCGUAACUUCGGGAGAAGGCACGCUGAUAUGUAGGUGAAGUCCCUUGCGGAUGGAGCUGAAAUCAGUCGAAGAUACCAGCUGGCUGCAACUGUUUAUUAAAAACACAGCACUGUGCAAACACGAAAGUGGACGUAUACGGUGUGACGCCUGCCCGGUGCCGGAAGGUUAAUUGAUGGGGUCAGCGCAAGCGAAGCUCUUGAUCGAAGCCCCGGUAAACGGCGGCCGUAACUAUAACGGUCCUAAGGUAGCGAAAUUCCUUGUCGGGUAAGUUCCGACCUGCACGAAUGGCGUAAUGAUGGCCAGGCUGUCUCCACCCGAGACUCAGUGAAAUUGAACUCGCUGUGAAGAUGCAGUGUACCCGCGGCAAGACGGAAAGACCCCGUGAACCUUUACUAUAGCUUGACACUGAACAUUGAGCCUUGAUGUGUAGGAUAGGUGGGAGGCUUUGAAGUGUGGACGCCAGUCUGCAUGGAGCCGGCCUUGAAAUACCACCCUUUAAUGUUUGAUGUUCUAACGUGGACCCGUGAUCCGGGUUGCGGACAGUGUCUGGUGGGUAGUUUGACUGGGGCGGUCUCCUCCUAAAGAGUAACGGAGGAGCACGAAGGUUGGCUAAUCCUGGUCGGACAUCAGGAGGUUAGUGCAAUGGCAUAAGCCAGCUUGACUGCGAGCGUGACGGCGCGAGCAGGUGCGAAAGCAGGUCAUAGUGAUCCGGUGGUUCUGAAUGGAAGGGCCAUCGCUCAACGGAUAAAAGGUACUCCGGGGAUAACAGGCUGAUACCGCCCAAGAGUUCAUAUCGACGGCGGUGUUUGGCACCUCGAUGUCGGCUCAUCACAUCCUGGGGCUGAAGUAGGUCCCAAGGGUAUGGCUGUUCGCCAUUUAAAGUGGUACGCGAGCUGGGUUUAGAACGUCGUGAGACAGUUCGGUCCCUAUCUGCCGUGGGCGCUGGAGAACUGAGGGGGCUGCUCCUAGUACGAGAGGACCGGAGUGGACGCAUCACUGGUGUUCGGGUUGUCAUGCCAAUGGCACUGCCCGGUAGCUAAAUGCGGAAGAGAUAAGUGCUGAAAGCAUCUAAGCACGAAACUUGCCCCGAGAUGAGUUCUCCCUGACCCUUUAAGGGUCCUGAAGGAACGUUGAAGACGACGACGUUGAUAGGCCGGGUGUGUAAGCGCAGCGAUGCGUUGAGCUAACCGGUACUAAUGAACCGUGAGGCUUAACCUU